UAUUUCUUAAUUUUCGAAUCCACUACAAAUAAAAUUAUUUAUUUUGAAUCACUAAAAACAUUUUAAAAUUAUUUAUUUCAAGCCAUGGUUUUGUAAUGUCAACAAAUUAAUUUCAAUCAUUUAUCUCCUGCGUGCAAAUUACAGCAGCAUUAUAAGCUGGUGGUGAAGCUAGAAUGGAUGAGCUACAUGGACAAUGAACAUGUAUAAUUUUGAUCACAGUUUCAUUUUCUGAAUAUUCACAGGCUAGUACAACAGACAAUUAUUUAGCAAAACUUUUGGAAGGGUAAAGCAAGUCAGAAGCUGGACAAACUAUACAAUAAGGUUAGAUCAGCAAUGUUUGUCCUAAUUAAACUUGAGAAUUCUAACUUGGAGAUCGCAUAAUCAAAUACGAGAUGUAAAGGGAGCACACGUUCAGAACCAUUCAACCAUACAUUUUGUGUAGAAACCUUUAUCUGAUGCAACAGCAGACAGACCCUGUAGUUCUUUCUGAACUUUACGCCUCUCGUAGAACACUGAGCAAGCAAGGGAAGUGCACUUGACACCACUAUCCAGAAGCCAGUCUCCACCACCACAAUGUCGACAUAUAGCAGCAAGGUGUUGCAUCUCCCUCUCCAAUUUUGAAGUCCUUCCAAUUACAGCCAUUGCAGCAGCAGUUUCCUUCUGUGAACAUUUGUUGCAUAUAUGUGUUGAUGUGUGGACCAACUCUCCGCAUAGCACACAAUGCUUAGAAAGAUAGUAAAAAUCAAUUCUGGUCCGUUGAGGAUUUGUAGCAUAUGGCGGGCGCUUAGCAAAAGCAUCCCUUCCUGGGCGGGGCAUCUCUGAAAACCACUGGUUUAAGUCAGCACCAAGAAGUCCAAAUACCCGCUGCAAUGCUGGGAUUAUCUGUUUGUUUAUGUAAUAUAUAUCAUUUAAUCUGUAAGGAGAAUCAAUAGCCAAAAGGUCCAGUGGGUCCACAACCAUAUCAACCAGGCGGGCACCUGGUUCCCCAUGGAUCACAACAUAGGGCACUCGCUCUGCAUAGCGUGGUUCUGCACGGGGAUCUGCUCUCAUCGCUUUAGUAGCCACGAUUGCUGCUGGAGGGAGUGAUGAAGAUGCCCUUGUACUGUAAGUGCCCAAGCGAACCUCUUUUGCAAAAACAAAAUCUUGAAGAGAUACUCUGCCAGAUAGAAUCCGUGUCCAUUGACGCUGCAAAUAUCCUUUGAUCUGCAUGCAAAACAUGAAACAUUCACUUGGUGGUGAAGAAAAAUCUAGAUUUCAUAGAAGAAACUAUAGCAGGAACAAAGAUCAAGAUAGCCCUCAUCAAUGUAUAUAUCAUUCAUGGUUAACAAGAAGAUUGACACACACACACAUGACAGAUCAAUAGUUCAGACAAUGAAAUCUCAGCUUAGGCUUUAUAUUACUUGAUAAAGAAACAAGUGUACAUGUUUCCACCUCAGAUAUGUCCUGAUGUUCAAAAAAGAGUCUCAAUGACUGCUCCAUCAUUUUGGCAACAGCACCACAUGUAUCUCUGCGAACAGUCUCAAUACCUUUGGCAUCAAAGACAGGCUCAAUUUGGUCAACACUCUCAUAGCUGUAACCAACAUAACGUUUCUUAGAAAGAAGGAAACAUGGAUGAUAGACUUUCUCCAUUUUCAAUGUGACAGGAUCUGGAUUCAUGGCAGUUACAGCAGAAGCAAUCUCAUGCCCAAUUUGAAAAGAUUCUUUGACAGUGCGUCCCUUGAGAAGGACAAACAUGCUGUCAGUGUCACCAUAUAUAACUUUAGCAUUCCACUUAUCGUUUGCAUUCACCAAAGAAAUAGCCUUUUCCAGUGUGCUCCGGCCACAUUGAACAAUACUGUCGGCAAGCUCUGCACAAGGCAUGCGACCACUAAAUCCAGCAGCUGUAUAACCAUAGGUUACAUUUGCUAUCAACUUCAAAGCCAGUUGUCUUGCAUUAAAUAUCCUGUGAAGAACUUGCUGUGUGGGAGCCAACUUCUUCAUUGCUUGUUUCACCAUUAUUCUAGUUGAUAAUAUUUCUUCUAAUAACCGGGGCAGUAUGCCUUUACGAACCUGCAAAUGCAAGGGAUUAAUAUGAUUUUCUUUCCUUCUCUCACCUUCUUUUACAGCCAGGAAGAGGCAUGACUCACAGAAAACUUUUUGAGUUGGAAAUAACAAGAUUAUUGCAAAAUAUAAAAUAAGAACACCAGCUCCACCUAAAAGAAAUUAUUAAACACCAUUGAAAAUGACAAAUGAACUGUUGAAAAACUACCACUAGCAUUUAUGUUUCACCAGAGCAUCUUACUUCAACCAUAAUGGUACCAAUUGCUUUUUCUGAUCAGAAAUCAAUUAUUUCAAGAAAAAAAAAAGAAUGACAUGAAAACUACUUCUUGUAGCUAUCCUUAGGUUACAUCACUGGUAAGCAACAAAGAUGUAGCUAUUACAACGCCCACAAAGCCUAAAAGCAGAUUAUGAACAAACCCCAUAAAGGAUGUAUUAUUACCAAUGUACAAAUAAAUCUAUGGACCCAACUUAGCAGAAUUCAUAAUGGUUAAUUUCACCUAUAGUCACUCAAAUUAGCACCU
rnacentral:misc_RNA from 1 species